AGAAUCAACGCUGGCGGCGUGCCUAACACAUGCAAGUCGAACGAGAAAGUGGAGCAAUCCAUGAGUAAAGUGGCGCACGGGUGAGUAACACGUGACUAACCUACCCUUGAGUGUGGAAUAACCUAGGGAAACCUGGGCUAAUACCGCAUAACACCUACGGGUCAAAGGAGCAAUUCGCUUAAGGAGGGGGUCGCGGCAGAUUAGCUAGUUGGCGGGGUAAUGGCCCACCAAGGCAGUGAUCUGUAUCCGGCCUGAGAGGGCGCACGGACACACUGGAACUGAAACACGGUCCAGACUCCUACGGGAGGCAGCAGUGGGGAAUUUUGCGCAAUGGGGGAAACCCUGACGCAGCAACGCCGCGUGGAGGAUGAAGUCCCUUGGGACGUAAACUCCGUUUCGACCGGGAAGAUUAUGACGGUACCGGAAGAAGAAGCCCCGGCUAACUUCGCGCCAGCAGCCGC
rnacentral:rRNA from 1 species